GCGGCGUACCGCGCGACCGCAGCGCUGCACGGAUGGCGCCGGUGGGGGCUGCGUGGGACCGAGUCGAGCGGAGCGGAUACGCCCACGACUCAGCCUCCUCUCCGCCGUUAAAUCACACGGUGGGACACACGAGCGGACGGAGAGAGGCGGCGACUGCAUCCGGGGGCAUGAAAGGACAUGGGAGCGUCUGGACGGCCCAAACGACAUCCAUCUAACAGGAUCCCCCAGACGACCACUUGCCAGAGGACGAGUGACAAACACAUGCCAGCAGCGGCUCUGGCAACGAGCAGGCGGAUUCUGAAGAAGUAAAGCACGGCUGGAGAGGGGCCGGCUUGUAUGGGGGCCAAAUCCCCGUCCAAGACACACGGCGUCUUCUCCGUCUACCGCCGCCGCCCCCUCUCCUCCCUCCUCUUUUCUCCCAUUCGCCUUCUGUCACUCUCAUGGGAGUGACAUAGAAGCUUCGGUGGGACCGCGGACGUCCAGGUAGGGAUGUCGUGGAAGAGGAACUACUUUGCGUCCGGCGGCGGAGCGGUCAGCGGGGCGCAGGGGCUGGCGACCCCGAGAACCAUGACCUCCAUCGCGCCCAGCAAAGGCCUGAGCAAUGAGCCGGGACAGAACAGCUGCUUCCUGAACAGCGCCCUUCAGGUUUUGUGGCAUUUGGAUAUCUUCCGCAGGAGCUUUCGCCAGCUGACCAUGCACAAAUGCAUGGAUGACUCGUGCAUCUUCUGCGCACUCAAGAACAUCUUUGCCCAGUUUCAGUUCAGCAGUGAGCGCGUGUUGCCAUCCGACGCGCUACGGAGCGCCCUGGCCAAGACCUUCCAGGACGAACAGCGCUUCCAGCUGGGCAUCAUGGAUGACGCUGCAGAGUGCUUUGAAAACCUCCUGAUGCGGAUUCACUUCCACAUCAGCGCAGAGAGCCGAGAAGACAUCUGCACGGCCAAACACUGCAUCCCGCACCAGAAGUUUGCCAUGACCCUGUUUGAGCAGUGCGUCUGUAAUAGCUGCGGCGCCACGUCGGACCCGCUGCCCUUCAUUCAGAUGGUUCAUUACAUCUCCACCACGUCCCUAUGUAACCAAGCGGUGAGGAUGCUGGAGUGCCGGGAGAGGGCCACACCGGAUAUGUUUGGGGAACUUCUUCGCAACGCCAGCAAUAUGGGGGACCUGCGCAACUGCCCCAGUAAUUGUGGUGAGGUGUUGCGCAUCCGUCGUGUGCUGAUGAACUCACCGGAGAUCGUCUCCAUUGGGCUGGUCUGGGACUCUGAUCACUCUGACCUGGCUGAGGACGUCAUACACAGCCUGGGCACUUGCCUGCGCCUGGGAGAUUUGUUCUACCGUGUGACAGAGGAGCGGGCUCGCCAGGCAGAGCUCUACUUGGUGGGGAUGGUGUGCUACUACGGCAAGCACUACUCCACCUUCUUCUUCCAGACCAAGAUACGCAAAUGGAUGUACUUCGACGAUGCUCACGUCAAGGAGAUCGGCCCUAAGUGGAAGGACGUGGUGUCCCGCUGUAUCAAAGGCCAUUAUCAGCCCCUGCUGCUACUUUACGCCGACCCCCGCGGGACGCCGGUGAUACUGCAGGAGAGCGCCGGUGCCGACACGCCGCUGGAGAUCCAGCGCUGCGGUAGCAAAGCCGGCUACGACAGCGAAGACUCGGGUCGUGAGCCGUCCAUUUCCAGCGACACCCGCACGGACUCGUCGACCGACAGCUGCAGCCAGCGCGCCUACCGCAGCCGGCCCUUGCACCAGUCCACGGGCAGCCGCCUAUCCAGCGACUCUCAGACCACCGUGGUCUGCAACUACGAUCUUGGAACGCCGCCGCACGCUGCCGACGCGGGAGAGUCAGCAGUGGAGGGCCCUCAUCGGCCUCCCCCCGCCCCCCUGCAGGAGUACAAGGAGACGGCCGUCUUCCUGCUCUCCUCUCGGCCACUGUCCUCCUCCUCCUCUUCGGGGGUGGGAGGGUGCGAGGGCGGCGUCGGGGGACCUCACUGGGAGGAUGAGAGCACCAGCGGCGAGAGCAAGUCCAGUUCUUCUGGCGGCUGCUACCGGCCCACCUGGAGGCCCCGGAGAGAAGCCCUGAACAUCGACAGCAUCUUCUCGGGCCAAAGCCAGCGGAUCUGCUCGAAGGGUUACCACACCCUGCCGGGAGUCUCUCACCCGCCGCCGCUCCAGCCACCCUCGCCCUGCGUGCGGCCCACCACCCCAACACCGCGGAGCUCGCAACUUACCGAGGGCAGGCAGGUUGCGGAGGUGGAGGCGAGAUUCGGACCGGUUGGGCUGCCCAGAACUCUGGGACGGAUGAUGGGCCCCCCUGCCCCUGCGCCUCUGAGGGGGGUUGAGCACCAGCCUCGCCUGAUCCAGAGGAUGGAGAGCGGCUACGAGAGCAGCGAGAGGAACAGCAGUAGCCCUGACAGGGAGGUGGGCCAACAGAAACGGACGCUGAUGUCCGGACCGUCGUGGCGCUCGGUGCCCAAGUCAAAGAGCAGCGGUGCUAUUCUGCAGGAGUUGCCCUCGCCGAGCUGGGGUCGCGCCAUCAGACCCGUCUCAGGGCGCAGCGAGCUGGAUGAGCUCCAGGAGGAGGUGGCCAGGAGAGCCCGCCAGCAGGAGCAGCAGAAGCGCAAGGAGGCAGAGCAGGAGGCGGCCAUGGGCUUCAACCCCAAACCCAGCAAAUUCAUGGACCUGGAUCAGCUCCAGCACCAGGCUGUACUCAGACCCUUGCAUGAGGCCAGCGUUCCUAGCGGCUCGCCCGUAGCCGCCGCGUGCAUGAGGAGCGCUGGCGGCUCGCUCAGAGGCAGGCCGGAACAGGAAGUGCAGCAACGGGAGUCGGGAAGCGCCCCUCGCCCACAGGGGCCUUGCAGUGAACAGCCUGGCCAGGUCCAAGUACUGCUAACGCCCAAUCAGGAGGAGGAAGAGGACCCCGUGGCCAAUCAGGAUGCAGCUCCGAACCAGGACCCACCCCCUCUGCCUCCACCUCCACCUCCACCCUACCGCCACACGGUGGCUCCCCCUCGUACGGCGCUCGCUCUCAGCAUCGCUCACCCGUGCGCCCCCUCCGGCGACGUCGGCGGGGGGGUGAGGCUGUGCGAGUUGCUCCAGGCCGGGGGGGUGAGCGUCAGACCCUUGGGGAGGCACUUGGCCAUUUCCCUGCCGUCCCUCCCGCUGCGCUUUUGGGAGACGCCCGUAACGCUCCCUCCUCCUCCUCUGCCGCCGCCUCCCGUCACCAAACCUGUCACGCCUCUCUGGCAGCCCCCUCAGCCCGGUUCCACCGCAACCCCUCAACCUUGGCUGCCCUCCGACGGAGCCACCCGCCAUUGGUCCUCUUGGAGUCUAGAUCGUCCCGACGCAAUGGUGACGCCCUACGACACCCCACCGGACCGCUACGCUGCCAUCCCGUCGCAAGCACCCAGGGCCGGUCGCCACCCCGCUCGAGGGAACUACGGCCCCCAACGUGCCUCGGGGCAACAUGGCGAUCCCACCAGCUGUGAGCGUGAGGAGCCCGAGCUAACAGCGCUAACAGAGCUUGACACCCUUUACCAGGCCAGUCUGCAGGCUGGGAGGACAGGCUGCAGCCCGUCAGAGCGGCUCAUCUCCAGGGUGGGAGGGCAAGCUCGCUCCAGAACCCCCAACGCAGACAUGGAAAGGAGCGUGUUUGGGCCGGACGGCGCCAGCACCCCCACCUACCUCAACAAGCCAAUGAUGUUGCAGGGUCUGCGUUUGGGGGCGGGGCCAGAUGUCGAGGGGGACAACCCCAGGAGAAUGGGGCGUAGCCUGAGUGGCACUGUGGUGGUGACCCCGCGCCACGCCCGCCUGACCGCCACCCGCAGCUUUGCGAAGCAGGCUGACGUCAGUGCCUGCUCCUCCCAUUGCUUGCUUCCUCUGUCCUGAGUCCCUGUCACUAUUCCACCGCCAUCACCUCCUCCAUCCUCUUCAUCACCUUGUCAUCACCACUUCCCUCCUCUGUCUCACAAGGAGCUGUCAGGCAGCGCCGGGAGUUUCUGGCUGUGUCUGACGGGGGUCAAACUGUCCUCUGGUCAGGGUCAAGCUCGGCCUCACUGAUCUCUCACAGCAUCCCGAUGCGCACGCCUCAACGGGCCUGGAUCGGACGGACGACUCUCCACCCGGCGGAGACGCCGCUCAUACGCAAACAUGCACACACGCACACACCCCCGCAGCGCAAAGUAGAGCCCCCACCCCACUGCUUCUGCCCCUCCCCAACGCCCCGCCCUCAGCUUUCUCUUUCUCGCCCCACUAUUCUGUCUAUGCAGUCUCUCUUGACCCCCGAAAACCUCAAACCUCUCCUGUUGUUGCUCCCCUUAUGACACUUUGGGGGUCGGGCGCGGGGAGGCUCAGAGUAGCCACGCCUCUUCCUCUUUCUCCACGGGCAUUUCCUGGCGGACGCACAUAAGUAGCAGCGGAACUGUUUCUCUGUUAGACAGCCAUAUUUUAUUUUUGUUGUUGCCCCUCCCCCUACCUCUCCUUCCGCCCCCCGAGGCCGUGUACAGAACAUGUAUGAACUCUGUAGCAACUAAGACCUUCUGGAAUGUUUGUGACUAUUCCACAUCGAUGUGAAGGGGUGCACUUCACAAGUGUCGGAGCGGGAUGUAUUUUUGCCCCUUGAACGCCGCCCCCUCCUCUUCUUUCGCCGCUAGCUCACCUACCUGAAUGACAGACAGUUCUCCCGUUUCUACCGGGAGAUUGAACAAGAAAAGCGCCUCCUCUGUUAAAACUUUUUUUAAGUUCCUGGCACCCUUUGGAUGUUCUUUUUUAAAAAAAUAUUCAUCGUAUAUUUUUCUUCCAAAUAUAAAGGCUUCACAUUAGGGUUACGUACGUCAGUCUGUAUAAAGUCCACACACCACUGUUCAAAUGCCAUUUUUUGGGGGGGUGAAAUUAACCCUUUCAUGCAUCCAGCUGUCCAGUUA